rnacentral:rRNA from 1 species
AGAGUUUGAUCCUGGCUCAGGAUGAACGCUGGCGGCGUGCCUAAUACAUGCAAGUCGAGCGAACGGACGAGAAGCUUGCUUCUCUGAUGUUAGCGGCGGACGGGUGAGUAACACGUGGAUAACCUACCUAUAAGACUGGGAUAACUUCGGGAAACCGGAGCUAAUACCGGAUAAUAUUUUGAACCGCAUGGUUCAAAAGUGAAAGACGGUCUUGCUGUCACUUAUAGAUGGAUCCGCGCUGCAUUAGCUAGUUGGUAAGGUAACGGCUUACCAAGGCAACGAUGCAUAGCCGACCUGAG